rnacentral:tRNA from 1 species
UGGCUUAGUGGUAGAGCGCUUGCCUUGCAUGCAUGAGGCCCUGAGUUCCAUUCCUCAG